AGUGACAGUGGGCCACCUGCACACUCACGGUCCUGACUGGAAGCAGAAAAUGCACCAACCAGAUUCGUCUUUCCCUCCCCGGUGAGACCUUGGAACGCUUCACGCUCAGCUGAGGAUCAAAACCCCCAGACCCAAGGGAAAGCCCAAGAUGGAGAUGGUCUUGCCAAAGGCCAAAAGGAGAGGCUCGGGAAGCCAGCCAGCCCGGGAGAGGAGCCAGACGAUGGCCUCAGGCAGCGCAUAAGGCACAGGGCACGUUGGGGAUCUUGGUAGGACCUCCCACCUUGCCCUCCAAUUUGGUUUUAAAUCCCUGACUUCUUUCUCUUCUCCCAGUU